GAGGUUGCUCACAUUCAUUGAGUUUCAGGCUGUGCUUCAUACUUUACAGUCAUUUUGACCCCGUUUGGAGGGUUCCUGGAAUUUUCACAUCCCUUGUCCAGAGUUCGUUCUUUAAUUAACGUUGCCUUGCCUGGGGGUAACUCUGUAACAGCUGCUGCUGGCGCACCCCACUAAUAAUAAUGAUAAACACCCACCGCUCACUGAAUAUCCGCUUUGGGCUAGGGUCCUGUCCUCAGACCUUUAACACACGUUGUUUCAUUAAAUCCUCAUAACACCCCGGGAGGUAUGUUUUCUACUCCCGUUUGCAGAUGAGAAAAGGAAGCUCAGAGAGGUGAAGUCACCUGCUUGAGGACACUCAGUUAGGGACUGGUAGAGCUGGGAUUCCAACUCGGUGGACUCCAACGCCAGUGCCCAACCCACUAUGCUAAACAGCCUGCCUUGCAUCCCCCCCUACUUAACGUGACAAAUGGGAGACUCAGAGCAGCUGACUGACAUGGGUGUGUCACACAGCUAAGUGGGGCACAAGGACUCGAACUUGGAUCUUUCCACUCCCAGGCCUGAAGAAGACAGCGAGGACGACACUUUGACCUGGGCUGAGCGCGCAUAUUACCAGUGCGACCACGGAUGGCGCCCUGAAUUCCCGCAGACCGGCAGCACGCCCCAGAGGGCAUCCGCUCCCGACGCGGAAGAGAACUGGACCUGCACCAUCCUCUGAGCGCCGGCGCAGCGUGGAGGAGAGGACUCCAGAGUCGGGGGGGCCAGCCCCCUCAUUUCCUGGGCGGGAUCUUAUCGGCUGUGACUUGGCAUCAGUCCUAGGACCAGAAUCCGGGUCUCCUGACCCCUCUUCCUGCUGUUCCCCUCUUUCUCGCCCUCCCUAGGUAGCGCUGCCCGCAGCCUCAUCCCGCCACAGCCUGUUUUCUGACAAUAUUCUCUGAGAGGCAACAGUUGAGGUUUAGACAAAAGAGUGGAAACUCAGCCUUGACUUUCUUCUGUGUGCCUGGUGAGAAGGUUAUGGUCCAAUUUAUUAUCAAUAACAAUAAAAAUAAUAGCAGAUACCA